rnacentral:rRNA from 1 species
AUUGAACGCUGGCGGCAGGCUUAACACAUGCAAGUCGAGCGGGGAGAGGUGCUUCGGUACUGAUCCUAGCGGCGGACGGGUGAGUAAAGCUUAGGAAUCUGCCAUUUAGUGGGGGACAACACUCCGAAAGGGAUGCUAAUACCGCAUACGCCCUACGGGGGAAAGCAGGGGAUCUUCGGACCUUGCGCUAAAUGAUGAGCCUAAGUCGGAUUAGCUAGUUGGUGGGGUAAAGGCCUACCAAGGCGACGAUCUGUAGCGGGUCUGGGAGGAUGGUCCGCCAAACUGGGACUGAGCCACGGCCCAGACUCCUACGGGAGGCAGCAGUGGGGAAUAUUGGACAAUGGGCGGAAGCCUGAUCCAGCCAUGCCGCGUGUGUGAAGAAGGCCUUUUGGUUGUAAAGCACUUUAAGCGAGGAGGAGGCUACCUGGAUUAAUACUCUAGGAUAGUGGACGUUACUCGCAGAAUAAGCACCGGCUAACUCUGUGCCAGCCGCCGCAGUAA